GACGAACGCUGGCGGCGUGCUUAACACAUGCAAGUCGAACGGAAAGGCCCUGCCUGCAGGGUACUCGAGUGGCGAACGGGUGAGUAACACGUGGGUGAUCUGCCCUGCACUUCGGGAUAAGCCUGGGAAACUGGGUCUAAUACCGGAUAGGAGCCAUUUUUAGUGUGAUGGUUGGAAAGUUUUUUCGGUGUAGGAUGAGCUCGCGGCCUAUCAGCUUGUUGGUGGGGUAAUGGCCUACCAAGGCGGCGACGGGUAGCCGGCCUGAGAGGGUGGACGGCCACAUUGGGACUGAGAUACGGCCCAGACUCCUACGGGAGGCAGCAGUGGGGAAUAUUGCACAAUGGGCGCAAGCCUGAUGCAGCGACGCCGCGUGGGGGAUGACGGCCUUCGGGUUGUAAACUCCUUUCGCUAGGGACGAAGCUUUUUGUGACGGUACCUAGAUAAGAAGCACCGGCUAACUACGUG
rnacentral:rRNA from 1 species